UUCACAACUUAACAUAUGUUAUCCAUACAUUAAGAUAAAAUAUGUUAUCUUAGUAUAUGUCAAGCUAUAUUUUCAGGACUUGUCCCUGGAUCACCUCCAGAUUCAACAUUCUUAAUCAGUGAGCUAUGUAUUAGGUUGGUGCAAAAGUAAUUACGGUUUUUGCCAUCAAAGGUAAUCCAUUAAAGGUAAUGACAAAAAACAGUGAUUACUUUUGCACCAAUCUAAUCACUGGAAAUGUAAAGCAGCACUCAAAGAAACUGGCAAGAAUCAAUAAAUUACUUCUUUUUUCUGCAUGAAAGAAGUACAAUGCAAUCUAGUGGGAGUACCCAACAACACCAUCUUUGUAAAUGUAAUGCAUUUUGGGAUUAAUAGUUUGAAUAGUAUCCAAUUUCCAUUGGUAGGUCAUAAAAUUUGAAUGUUGACAAUUUCAUAUAAUUUAAACUAAUAUUAAUAGUAAAAUUAAAGAUAUAUAUAUAUAGAGAGAGAGAGAGAGAGAGACAGAGUGAGAGAGAGAGAACUCUAAUUGUCAAUUCUCUUUCUUUUAAUACCUUGGUACGAAAAAAGGAAACAAACCAAUUUUGGUUUUAAAGCUGCCAACAAUAUUACAACAAUUAUUACAUUGUAGGAAAUAAUUAGUGCAGUAUUCAGAAGGAAGGUCAUCCAAGUGAUAGUAAAAUAUUAUGAAGAGAUUCAUCGGUUUGAUUGUGUUAUUCAUAGCUAGUGAUAAUAAGUAAUUUAAAAGGAGCUAAAUGUAUUUUCUUUUUGCUAUAAAAAGGAUCUAUUUCCACAAAAUUUUCAGAAAAAUAAAUAUUUUCCUGAAGGUUAGUAUUCACAACUAAGGAACAAAUCCUUACAGUAGGUAUUUUUGAAUGUAUUUGUACAUGUAAGUGUGUGCAUAUGUAUAGGGGAGGGUAUGUGUAUUCUGAAUGAUCACAUUAAUAAAAUAAAUCAGGAAAAAUGAAAAGUAGACCUGAAAAAGAAAGCUGCUCAGCUAGGGAAGGUUAGCUUGCUAAAUGACUGUCAAGGGGCCUCUCCUAUUGGCAUUUAUCUUCAUGAAUUUUUCCCAUUGCAGUAUCUGGCACUCAAUUUUGCAGGCUCAGAGACUUGAACUUUUCAGUUUCUCAAAGUUGACAGGUACUGAUAUCAUUGAUUAAAAAUGACAAACUAUAAGAAACAGUUUAGCAAAAAGCAUGUCUAUUUCUUAAUUUAUAAAAUUAUGUAACUGCCCAGUGAACCAGACCAGCAUGCUGUCUUUUUAGUAUCUUUUCUUCAAGGAGAUAAGCUACCUAGGAACACGCAUUAUAAUCAGAAGUUUGUAGGAACUUAUGAAGUCAGAAUGAGAAGAAUCAAUUCUUUGUAGGGAAAGCAUGAAGCUGGAAUGGGAAGAAUCAAUUUUAGAUGUAUGGGCUUGAUGCCAUGAGAUUAAAGAAGAUAAUGAGUCAGACUUCCAAUAUGUGUGGAUUACUCUUGCCUUUCAAAAUGUUACAGGUUUCCUUCAGUGCCACUUUGCCAGCCAGAAAUCUCUGUGACCACUUCUGCCCGGGUCUCACUCAGGUCCUCUGGGCUCAGCCCACUCAGCCUGGCAGGCUUGUGCCCCAGCCUGGAUCCCACACCCACCAUGGUUCUGCACUCAGCCCAUGGCUAGAUUGGGCAGGUGUGAGUGGCUUCCACAUGGCUGCCACCAUCUAGAUGACGGAAAUGUGUGAUGACACCCAAAAACUCAGAAAUGCCAACAAUCAUGUGGCCCCAGGGGGUGUUAAUCUUGCUCAAAGAGUCUCGAGGUCUGAGCUCCCAAGAAAUGUCGCAGCUUUUCAUUCCCAUAGCUCGGCAAGUGAAACCUUGUCACAGCUCUCUUUCUUCUGUAGUCCAGCGAGUGGGAGCGUAUUACAGGUAUUUUCUUUCCACUGCCCACACAGCUCAGUGAGCCAGCCAGGAGUGUCAUAGCUGUUUCAUUCAUGCCACCUGCAGCUUGGUGAGUUCCAGGUUCUUGUCCCGUGACCAAGAGGAAUAAGAUGCAUGGACACCAGAGAGUGAGUAAGGCAGAGAAGAAUUUUAUUGAGUGACAGAAGGAAAGCUCUCAGCCACAAGAGGGGGCCUGAGAGUGGGUAGCCAGGUGUGAAGCUGAGUCUGGGUUUUUAUGGGCUUAGAAUGACCAAGUGCCUGCCGUUUGGUCCACAGGUGUUCUUGGAAAAAGCACCAUUCAAUUGGUUAAAAAGCAUCAUCUAGAAGGAACCAAUUGCGAGAGAGUGAGGAAGACAGAGAUAGAAGUUCUCACUCCAGUAAUUAACUCCAUCUGGAAGCAUCAGCUUGGUUUUCAGGCUUUAAACAGUUUUUGGUUUGAAGGUUGGGUAUCAAUGGAGACUUGUUUCUGUCUGCCUAGGAAUUUGUCUGUCUCCUGUCACUAUCACAAUAAGACAGGCUUGAUCUUGGCUAGGGCACACUUUUCCCUGGACAGGGUUCGAGUGGGAACUGGAUUGGGAAUGUUGAUCUUUGCAUGCCAUGCCCCCAACAAUUCUUAAUGACAUCUACCUUUACCAUUUCUCCUGCUGUUAAGUAGUUAUAUCUCUUCACAAACCACGGGCCUCAGCUACUGGGGCCAACAGUGAGCACUUGACCCCAAACAACUGAUCCCCAGGCUGAUGAGACCAUCUAAUGACCACUGUGGUUUCUGAUUCAAAACGAUGAGUUUAAGAAAUAGUUUUCUCUCUUAGAAUUUUGAAUGGGAGUAGGAAUAGUGGCAGUAUGCUGAAAUUGAAGCACUACACUUGUUCAAGGUAAGCAAUAAGGGUAAAAAGUAGAGGUUGUGUUGCCUAGUGCAGCAAGGAGAAGGAAGUCAGUCCACAAAGAAAAGCAAUGUAAAAGAGACAUCCUCCUAAUUAAGUUUAAAAAAAAAAUUUCCUCUAAGACCAUUUAGGUGACUUUCUAUGUUUCACCAUUUAUAUCCAAGUCAAAGAAACACUAUUGAAAUGUCCCUGAUGAAUUUUGUUUUUCUAUUUUUUAUUGCUUACGAAUGCAUGUUUGUGAUAGGCACAUUAUCUAUAUAUGUUAACAUCAAGUUUUCUUCCAACUCAGUUAUGCUUUCUUUCUCAACAAAACUUGGCAUUAUUUUAUCACAGGUUUAAUUUACGAGAUAACUUGAAGGGCAACUGAGUUUCUCUUAUUUCCAUGUUCCUCAGUGACUGUAUCUUAGUCUUCUCUCAAUUUGCCUAUAGGAUAUAUUUAAAGUUACCAAUGCUUCAAUAUUUAUUUGUUCAUUUGUAACUUAGCAUUUACUUUAAGUACAGUCUGAUACAAAACUUUAAACCAGAAAUGCAUUUAAACAAUCUAUAUUUUGAAAAUAAUUUUAUCUCCUUUUUUUUUUUUUUUUUUUGGAGACAGAGUCUUGGUCUGUUACCCAGGCUGGAGUACAGUGGUGCAAUCUCGGCUCACUGCAACCUUCACCUCCUGGGUUCAAGCGAUUCUCCUGCCUCAGCCUCCCAAGUAGUUGGGAUUACAGGCAUAUGUCUGCUAAUUUCUUUUUUUUAAUUUUAUUUUAGUAGAGAUGGCGUUUAGUAGAGAUGGCCUCCUGGCCUCAAGUGAUGCACCCCCUUUAGCAUCCCAAAGUGCUGGCAUUACAGGCAUGAGCAACUUCACCUGGCUUCAUAAUUUAUUCUUAUGUAAUUUAUACAUUUUGUACUUACAUGAACUUUUAAACUUUUAACAACAUUUCAAUAUUUAAUAUGCUAUGAAAGUUAAAAUUUAAAAAAAUCAAAAUGCAUCCAUGCAGUUUAUCAGAUGUAAAUAUAGGAACUUGAAAAUGCAGUUAAUGCUUUUAUAGAUUAUAAUCAAUUGUUGUUUUACCAGUUACUUACAAUUUUAUAAAAUUUAAAGCUCAUGAAAGCCUAACAACAUGUAUUUGUCACAAAGUAGUUUUACUUAUUUUUCAAAGAAAUACUAUGAAUGCAGAAAUGGAUUUCACUACAAAAGUGUCAAAUUUUUUUUCAUUAAUUGGAGUCAUAAGUCAUUUUUAGCCAUCUUACUCCCUUUGAAUUGGUGCUUUUAUGUUGCCUAAGAAUAUGUUGAUACAUUUUCAUUGCCUAAAUGUGGUUGAAGAAUGCUGGGUGUAUAAAGACAAGCUACCACCUGAAAUUCUCAGGUCAACAUUUAAAUUUAAAGGUCUUUUUUAUUGUUGGCUGUUGUGCUAAAUCUUAACCAUAGAGCAAAUCUGAAGUAGCAAUCCAAUCUAUAUUAAAAAAAUAAAUAACACUUGAUAUGAUUUGGCUGUGUUGCCACCCAAAUCUUAUCUUGAAUUCCCAUGUGUUGUAGGAGGGACCCAGUGGGAGGUAAUUAAAUCAUGGGGGCAGGUUUUUCCCGUGCUGUUCUCAUGACGAAGUCUCACAAGAUCUGUGGGUUUUAAAAAUGGGACUUUCCCCUCACAAGCUCUCUGUUUGCCUGCUGCCAUCCAUGUAAGACGUGACUUGCUCCGCCUUGCCUUCCAUCAUGAUUGUGAGGACUCUCCAGCCACAUGGAACUGUAAGUCCAUUAAACCUCUUUCUUUUGUAUAUUGCCCAGUCUGGAGUAUGUGUUUAUGAGCAGUAUGAAAAUGGACUAAUACAAUACCUUAGUACAUGGAUUAAGUUAAGUUAAAAUUAAAAAGAAAUUUUCAGAUCUUAAUUUCUAGAUAUUUAAAUAUUUAGUAUAAAAAAGUUAUUGUAAUGUAAUUGAUAACUAAGGUUUAUCUUCCAGAAUGCCAGUAGAACCCUCAAUAAGAUGACAUGUUUAUAAUUUCCUUCCUGUCAUCAAUGUUAUAUAUCUCCUUUUAGCAUCUACAGGUCUUUGCCUAUUUAUUUAUAAGCCACAGAAGAUUAAGAAUGAAGGAGGAGAGUAUGUGCAAAGAACCAUCAUACUUAAUUCCCACCUCUUCAAACUGCUAGAGCCACAGACAAUCCUGGAAUACCCCAAAAGAGAGGAGGAUUCCAUGCUGCUGCUCCACCAUGCUUCACACCAAUCAAUAAGAAGUGUUUCCAGCUGUAUCUACGAAAUGUCUCUCCAGAAUCACUGACAAUUCGGUUCACAUCAUAUGGCAAUUAGAUAAUUUUCUGAUGACUUUUAACUUACCUCCUCUCUUUUGACUUCUCCCUACACCAUAUCAGUGUCCAAAGUGUUGCCAAAACCACUUCAAAAAUGCACAUCUGUUUCUGUCUCUCCCUUAUAUUAUGCCUUCAAAUCAUGACUUCUUAAAAUGAUAUAAGGAAUUUUUACAGUUGGGUUACAAAGUAAGUUGGAGCCUCCUUUAUAAUUGUUCCUGUACAUUUGCCAUCCCUCCAGACUUAAAGAAUAAAUUGAAGAACUUUGUACAGAAUAUUGACUUUCCUGUUGAUGUGCCAUCAUUUAGCACAGGAGAAGCAACUCAGUGUAUACCUAUCUGCAAACUUUUCUAAUGAUAAUUUGUGCCUAUAGUCCUGUACUGAUGUGAAGUGUGAAAAAAUAUAUACCAGGGGAAACAAAGGAGAAUGGCACCAUAUAAUUGGUAGAUUUUCAUCCCAUAGUUUAUUUUCGUAUUUGCCUGCAAGGUCUUUUUUCAUACACUAAAUCAAGCCCUGCCUGUUUUGAAAUCAUCAUCGACACCCCUUCAAAGCACAGACAAAUUUUGAGAAUUGUCAGACUAAUAAUGUUGACUCUUCAAAUGUAUGAACAAGGUACAUUCACUAGCUAAUUAAGUCUUCCUUUAUUUCCUUUGCAAUGAUUUGUAUCUUUCAGUGUACACAAAAAACAAAAUAUCCAAAUGCUUAGUUUUGUUGUUAAGGUAUGCUCUUUGACAAAAAGAGUAUUAUAUGAAAAACACUAAUCUAACAUUGUCAUCUCAGAUAAAACAUUUCUUAUGAAUAACAAUGUAUGAUUUAAAUUGUGAUAAAAAUAAUGGGUUCCAUAGGAAUCAUAGCAUAUUGUGUUCAAGUUAUAUAAAAUUACACCAUAGAAUUUAUAUUUUCAGAAGAGUUUUGAAUGACCAUUGUGGUGAUACAUGCUUUUUUUUUUCUUCUCCUAUGCCAUGUUUUGUAGUCAUUUUAUUCAAAAUAUAUACAUUUUCAUUUUUGAAGAGUGUUUACCUGGACUUCAUUAAAUAACCAGUGUAUAUUUCAUUUUAGGUAAGAUUUGUUUCAGUUGUAAUUAAGAUCCUUAGCCUCUAAUUCUAGUUGAAUUUUUCCCAUCAAUUCUUCUCAUUUAUUCACUACAAAGAAAUUGCUAUAGUACUUAAAGUAUCUAAUUAUACAGUUUUGCUCCCUUAUAAAUAAAUGAGAACAUAAUGAAUACAUUAGUAAUCAGUGGGUGGAUUCACAACAAUGUAAGAGGUAUAAAAUAUUUGUACAGCUUGACAGGUAGAAACAUUUCUCUACUAAUGGUUUAUGUAAAUUCAUUACUUAUACACUUUUGAUGGGAUUCUAUAGUAUUCUCUUAUUUUAUGAUUUCUUAUUGUUAGUAUGUAGAAAUUCAAUUGUCUUUUCUGCAUUGACCUUGCAUCUUGCAAUCCUAAACAUUAUCUUGUUAGCUAGUAGCUUUUUUAUAUAUUUCUUAGAGUUUAUUACAUAUGCAAUCAUGUCAUCUGUUAAUAAAGAAGAUUUUUACUUCUUACUUUUUAAACAGUAUGAUUUUUUUUUCCCUACUACACUGGCUAAAACAUCCAGUAUAAUUUUAAAAAACAAGAGAUAAGAGUAAAUAUCCCUUUUUUCCUUUUUAUUGGUAAAAAGCAUUGGGCCUUGCCCUUGGAUAUUAUAUUAGCUAUAAGUUUUUUAAUAGAUACCCCAAAUCAAAUGGAGAAAAUCUAUUCUCACUUUUCUGAGAGUGGUUUCCUAUGAAUGAGUGCUGAAUUUUGUCAAAUACUUUUUCCACCUAUUAAAGUGAACACAUUAUUUAUCUCUUUUGUAAUUUUAAUGUGGUAAUUAAAAUUACUGAUUUUCUGACAAACCUUACAUUCUCAGGAUAAAUUCUACUGGGUCCAUGCUUUUUGAUUUGAUUUCCUAAUUUUUAAAAAAUAAUUGUGUGUCUACAUUCAUGAAGGUUAUCAAUCUGUCAUUCUUUCUUUAAAUAUCUUGUCUGAUUUUGGUAUUCAGGCAUUACCGAACUCAUAAAAUGAAUUAUGAAGUGUCCUUUAUUUUCUGAAAAAUUUUGUGCGUAAUUGUAAUUUUGGUUUGCCUCAAUGUUUGAUAGUGUUCAGAUGUGAAGACAAGCUAUGCACUUCCAAUUGAAUAAAUUUUGGUAUUGUCUUUCAAGAAUUUUUUUAUUCCAUCUAAGUUGCCAAACAUAUUAGAAUAAAGUUGCUUAUAAUAUUAUUUUAUUACUCUUUAAUGAAUAUUGGAACUUAUAAAAAGCCACAUCUCUCAUCCCUGGGAUUGGUCGUGUGU